ACAAGUUGACAAGAGCAUCGGGUGGAUGCCUUGGCGUCGGAAGGCGAUGAAAGACGUGGUAAGCUGCGAAAAGCCUCGGGGAGAAGCUAAACAUUCUGUGAUCCGGGGAUUUCUGAAUGGGGAAACCCGGCGGAGGUCAUGCUCCGUCGCGGGCACUUGAAUACAUAAAGUGUCCAGCGCCAACUCAGGGAAGUGAAACAUCUCAGUACCUGAAGGAAAAGAAAUCAAACGAGACUCCCAAAGUAGCGGCGAGCGAAAUGGGAUGAGCCCAAACCGGCUGGAUUCGUUCAGCCGGGGUUGUAGGGCCGGCAUAUGUGAUUCAUGAGUAGGCAGGGGAAAUGAGCUGGAAAGCUCUGCCAGAGCGGGUGACAGCCCCGUACCUGAAACCGAAAGCGACACAGCCGGUACCUGAGUACCGCGAGACACGUGGAACCUCGUGGGAAUCCGGGAGGACCAUCUUCCAAGGCUAAGUACUAACCGACGACCGAUAGUGUACCAGUACCGUGAGGGAAAGGUGAAAAGAACCUCUGUUAGAGGAGUGAAAUAGAAUCUGAAACCUGGUGCUUACAAGCUGUGAGAGCGGACUUGUUCCGUGAUCACGUGCCUUUUGCAUAAUGAGUCAGCGAGUUAAUCUGUACUGCAAGGUUAAGCGCAAGUGGAGCCGUAGGGAAACCGAGUCUGACAAGGGCGAUGAGUAGUGCGGAUUAGACCCGAAACCGGGUGAUCUAUCCAUGAGCAGGUUGAAGCAAGGGUAAAACCUUGUGGAGGACCGAACCAAUACCGGCUGAAAACGGUUUGGAUGACUUGUGGAUAGGGGUGAAAGGCCAAUCAAACCCGGUGAUAGCUGGUUCUCCCCGAAAUAUAUUGAGGUAUAGCCUCAUGGAUUGUCUACCGGAGGUAAAGCACUGACAGGGCUAGGGGUCCUACCAGAUUACCAAACUCUAUCAAACUCAGAAUGCCGGUCAGAUGUACCAUGGGAGUCAGACGGCGGGUGCUAAGGUCCGUCGUCGAGAGGGUAAGAGCCCAGAUCAACAGCUAAGGUCUCCAAAUCUAUGCUCAGUGGUUAAGGUGGUGACGUUGUAGAGACACCCAGGACGUUGGCUUAGAAGCAGCCAUCGUUUAAAGAAAGCGUAAUAGCUCACUGGUCUAAUGACGUUGCGCCGAAAAUGUAACGGGGCUAAGCAUAGUACCGAAGCUUUGAAUUCCGCAUAUGCGGUCUGGUAGGGGAGCGUUCUUCACGGGCUGAAGGUGUGUCGUAAGGCAUGCUGGACUGUGGAGAAGUGAUUAUGCUGACAUGAGUAACGAUAAAACGGGUGAAAAACCCGUUCGCCGUAAACCCAAGGUUUUCCGGGUAAAGGUAAUCUUCCCGGAGUUAGUCGGCCCCUAAGGCGAGGCUGAAAGGCGUAGCUGAUGGGAAACGUGUUAAUAUUCACGUACUUGUGUGUUCGCGCGAUGAAGGGACGCAGGAAGAUAGGCAAGCCGGGCGCUGGUUGUCCCGGUGCAAGCGUGUAGGGAUGAGAAGUUGGCAAAUCCGCUUCUCUCUAUCCUGAGACGCGAGUCCGUGACCGAAAGGUCUGAAGUUGUUGAGUCUAUGCUGCCUAGAAAAGCUUCUAAGUAUAGGACACGCAAACCGUACCGGAAACCAACUCAGGUGGGUGGGAUGAAUAAUCCAAGGCGCUCGAGAGAACUCUGGCCAAGGAACUCGGCAAAAUAACCCCGUACCUUCGGAAGAAGGGGUGCUUUUUAGGGUGAAGCGAUUCACUCUGUCGAGCCCUGAAAAGCCGCAGAGAAAUGGUGGUGGCGACUGUUUACUAAAAACAUAGGUCUGUGCCAAGUCGUAUAGACGACGUAUACGGACUGACGCCUGCCCGGUGCUGGAAGGUUAAAAGGAGGAGUCAGCGCAAGCGAAGCUCCGAAUUGAAGCCCCAGUAAACGGCGGCCGUAACUAUAACGGUCCUAAGGUAGCGAAAUUCCUUGUCGGGUA
rnacentral:rRNA from 1 species